UGAGUCAACAUCUCGAGUCGGCCUUGC
rnacentral:piRNA from 1 species